AUGAACGCUGGCGGCGUGCCUAAUCCCUGCAAGUCGAGCGUACAGACGAGGAGCUUGCUCCUCUGACGUUAGCGGCGGACGGGUGAGUAACACGUGGAUAACCUACCUAUAAGACUGGGAUAACUUCGGGAAACCGGAGCUAAUACCGGAUAAUAUAUUGCACCGCAUGGUUCCAUAGUGAAAGACGGUUUUGCUGUCACUUAUAGAUGGAUCCGCGCCGCAUUAGCUAGUUGGUAAGGUAACGGCUUACCAAGGCGACGAUGCGUAGCCGACCUGAGAGGGUGAUCGGCCACACUGGAACUGAGACACGGUCCAGACUCCUACGGGAGGCAGCAGUAGGGAAUCUUCCGCAAUGGGCGAAAGCCUGACGGAGCAACGCCGCGUGAGUGAUGAAGGUCUUCGGAUCGUAAAACUCUGUUAUUAGGGAAGAACAAAUGUGUAAGUAACUAUGCACGUCUUGACGGUACCUAAUCAGAAAGCCACGGCUAACUACGUG
rnacentral:rRNA from 1 species